rnacentral:misc_RNA from 1 species
GAUGAAGAACGUAGCGAAAUGCGAUAAGUAGUGUGAAUUGCAGAAUUCAGUGAAUCAUCGAAUCUUUGAACGCACAUUGCGCCCCUUGGUAUUCCAUGGGGCAUGCCUGUUCGGGCGUCAUUUGUACCUUCAAGCUUUGCUUGGUGUUGGGUGUUUGUCCAUUCUCUUGCAGAGGGACUCGCCUUAAAGUAAUUGGCAGCCAGUGUUUUGGUUUUGAAGCGCAGCACAAGUCGCGAUUCAAAGCUAUACGCCCGCUUCCACAAGCCUUUUUCACUUUUGACCUCGGAUCAGGUAGGGAUACCCGCUGAACUUAAGCAUAUCAAUAAGCGGAGGA